GAUCCUGGCUCAGGACGAACGCUGGCGGCGCGCCUAACACAUGCAAGUCGAACGAGCGAGAGAGAGCUUGCUUUCUCGAGCGAGUGGCGAACGGGUGAGUAACGCGUGAGGAACCUGCCUCAAAGAGGGGGACAACAGUUGGAAACGACUGCUAAUACCGCAUAAGACCACAGCACCGCAUGGUGCAGGGGUAAAAACUCCGGUGGUACAGGAUGGACCCGCGUCUGAUUAGCUGGUUGGUG
rnacentral:rRNA from 1 species